UUUGAUCCUGGUAGAGGAACGCUGGCGGCAUGCCUAACACAUGCAAGUCGAACGGUAGCAUGAGGUGUAGCAAUACAUCUUGAUGGCGAGUGGCGGACGGGUGAGGAAUGCAUCGGAAUUUGCCCAGUCGUGGGGGAUAACCCGGGGAAACCCGGACUAAUACCGCAUACGACCGAGAGGUGAAAGCGGGGGACCGUAAGGCCUCGCGCGAUUGGAUGAGCCGAUGCCGGAUUAGCUAGUUGGCGGGGUAAAAGCCCACCAAGGCGACGAUCCGUAGCUGGUCUGAGAGGAUGAUCAGCCACACUGGGACUGAGACACGGCCCAGACUCCUACGGGAGGCAGCAGUGGGGAAUAUUGGACAAUGGGGGCAACCCUGAUCCAGCAAUGCCGCGUGUGUGAAGAAGGUCUUCGGGUUGUAAAGCACUUUUAUCGGGAACGAAACAUUGUCGGUCAAUACCCGGCAAGACUGACGGUACCCGAGGAAUAAGCACCGGCUAACUCCGUGCCAGCAGCCGCGGUAAAUACGGAGGGUGCAAGCGUUAAUCGGAAUUACUGGGCGUAAAGCGUGUGCAGGCGGUUUGUUAAGUCUGCUGUGAAAUCCCCGAGCUCAACUUGGGAAUUGCAGUGGAUACUGACAAGCUGGAGUACGGUAGAGGAAGGUGGAAUUCCCGGUGUAGCAGUGAAAUGCGUAGAGAUCGGGAGGAACACCUGUGGCGAAGGCUGUCUUCUGGACCAGUACUGACGCUUCAUGCACGAAAGCGUG
rnacentral:rRNA from 1 species